AUGCAUAGGGGGGAGUAUGGAAGAUAUUGUCAAGUUUGUUUAUGUUAUAAUUAUCUUUCUUUCCAUAUUUAUUAUUGCAACAAACAUGGAAGCAAAAACUAUAUGUAUUGGAGAUUCUGAUUGUCGAAAUGAAAGGUGCAUGCCUGGUAUUAAACCGGUAUGCUCAGAAGGCUGGUGUGAUUGUAUAGGAUUUAUACCAUAGAUUCUACAAGUGUUCACGAGUACACAAAUGUCCGACUUAUAUUAAGAGGUACCAUUUAGUUAUCAUGUUGCAAUCCAAUAACUUUCUUUUUCUAAUUUGACAAAGAUUGUAGUUAUGGAUUUGUUCUCUAUUAUGAUGGUAAUGAAAUAAGGCAGCUUGAUUGUAUUCUUGUCUA